ACUAUGAAAUCAUAACUUUAAAACGGAUUAGUUAUGCAUAAAAAAAUUAUGUAAAUAAUUUAGAAAAUAUUAAUUGGGGGUAGGUGGCGUCCAAAUUUUUUUUUCUGAACGGGGGGGGUGCCCUAUAGUUAGGAGGACGUCCAGAAGAUGGUCUGUCAGGUGGCAUCUACUGAUAAAAUAAAUUUAAAGGCGGUAAUUUGGUUGGGCGGUAAAAAUAAGCGUCUUAUGUCGAUUAUAUAAAUCAUAGUUAAUUUUAUCGAGUUAUUUAAUUAUAAUUGAUUUAUCUUAAUUCAUUUAAAUUAAUAUUAAAAACCUGAUUUAUGUAUAUUUUAUCCCUUUUAAUUAGAGGAUUAUUCCUCUUUCUACCUAGACAAAGAGAGGAAUAAUCCUGACUAAAAGGGAUAAAAUCAUUAUUGGAUAUGAAAUUAUAUACAUAUACAUUUAAUUUAUAAUAAUUCAUUUAAUUUAAAUAUAUUAUAUAUAACUUAGCUUCUUCAGUAUAUAAUUUGAUCUUUAAAUUAACUCAAGUAUUCAUUUUAAUUUCUUAAUUAAUUUUCAUCUACAAUUAUAAAAUGAAGAUUUUUAUUUAUAUACAUUUAAUUAGAUUGACGUAAAUUUGAAUCAGGUAAAUUAUAAAUUAACAGACGUAUAAGUUUCACUUAUAUGUCUGUUAAUAUAUAAUUAAAUGCUAGUUAAUUAAAGAUAAUUUAAAUUUGCUGAGAUUUAUUAGCCUUGUAAUUUAAAUGAUAAUUAAUUAAUAUAUUUCUAAUUAGUAUUUAAAAAAGAUAUAUAAUUAAAAUAAACUCGUGUAAAUUAUGUUAAGCUCUAGGUGAGUGGGUGAGAUUUCUUCGGGAGUAUGUUUUCUAAGGAGAGGAGGUUAAAUUUUUUAAAAACAUUUCUGCUUUUAAAAUUGUCAUAUAGUUCUAUUACUUUUAAAUGAUUUAUAAUAGUGUUUUUGUUUUUUAUAAUGUGUUUACUUUAGUUUGAAAGUUUGAUCCUUGCUUGUUCCUCUGUUUCAGGAAUAAUUUACAUGUAAGUGAGUGCUAGAUAAUUGUGACCAAUAGAUUUGUUUAGUUAGGUUUCAGUAUGUGUCUUUGGUUUUGGAGAAAUCCUUCGAUCCAGUAAUUCCAGUAAUUUCAGGUUAAAUUUGUGCCAGCAUCCGCGGUUAGACUGGGAGUAAAUAUGGAGGGAAAAAGGUUAUUGGUUACGGGAGCAUGUAUUUGCAAGUUUCUUUUUUUGUAGAGUUAAGAGGUGAAAUUUAUAGUUCGAUAGUAAAGUUGAAUCUUGUUGAUUUUCUUGGAGGCCAUUGAAGUUUAGGUUUAAACCAGGAUUAGAUACCCUGUUAUUCUAAACUUAAAGUUUAUUGCUUGAUUAGUAUCAGUUAUGAGCUUGAAAUUUAAAGGAUUUGGCGGUAUCCAAGUCUAGUUAGAGGAACCUGCCAUUUAAACGAUAUGCCACGAAUGAUCUUACUUUGUCUUGUCAAACAGUAUGUAUACCGCCAUUAUUAGGUGGUGUAUUAAUAUAGCCAUUAAAAUUAAUUUAUAUUAAGUAUAUUAGGUCAAGGUGCAGCCCAUGACAAAGAUAUCGGUGGGUUACAGUGUGUUAUAUAUAAACGGAUGGACUCUUGAAACGGGGUCUUGAAGGUGGAUUUAAUUGUAUUUCUUUUUUAAUAUGUUAGAUUGAUCAUAGCUCUAGGAUAUGUACACAUCGCCCGUCGCUCUCAUUCUUUAAAGUGAGAUAAGUCGUAACAUAGUAGUUGUAUUGGAAAGUGCAUCUAGGAGUA
rnacentral:ncRNA from 1 species